AGCUGGCUCCUCCCAAGAGCAUGUGCACGCCUUUUGUCUUUACUCUUUUCCACCUGUGCACCUUUUGUAAACCAUGAGUGAACUCUCGAGAGCGUUGGCAACGACGUGAUCGGUUUGGGGAUUUGCGUUCAGCUUUCCCUGUAGCUCUUGGUUUAUGUCUUUAUAAACUCUAUAGUCUGUUUUGAAUGUCUUAUGGGUUUUGCGCUGUAAUGGUGCGACCUUUAUAAACUAUACAACUUUUAGCAACGGAUCUCUUGGCUCUCGCAUCGAUGAAGAACGCAGCGAAUUGCGAUAUGUAAUGUGAAUUGCAGAAUUCAGUGAAUCAUCGAAUCUUUGAACGCACCUUGCGCUCCUUGGUAUUCCGAGGAGCAUGCCUGUUUGAGUGUCAUUAAAUUCUCAACGUCUCCAGCUUUCACGAGUUGGUAGAGCGGUUGGAUGUGGGGGUUUGCGGGCUUCUCAGAGGUCGGCUCCCCUUAAAUACAUUAGCGGAAACCUUAUCCUUUCCUCUUGGUGUGAUAGUUUAUCUGCAUCUUGAUGAUUGGGUCUUUGCUGGUUUUUUCUGCUUCUAACG
rnacentral:rRNA from 1 species